AACGCACCUUGCGCUCCUUGGUAUUCCGAGGAGCAUGCCUGUUUGAGUGUCAUUAAUAUAUCAACCUCUUCUUGCUUUUUGCAUGUCGAGUGCUUGGAUGUGGGGUUAUUUUUGCUGGACUCUGAUCUGAGGUCGGCUACCCUAAAAUAUAUUAGCGAAACAAUUUGUUUACCGCUCAUUGGUGUGAUAACUAUCUACGCUAUUGACGGUGAACGCAUGUUUAGCUUCGAACAGUUCAUUUACUUGGACAAUCUCUUAUUAAUGUGACCUCAAAUCAGGUAGGACUACCCGCUGAACUUAA
rnacentral:rRNA from 1 species